UGGGGAAUAUUGGACAAUGGGCGAAAGCCUGAUCCAGCAAUGCCGCGUGAGUGAUGAAGGCCUUAGGGUUGUAAAGCUCUUUUACCCGGGAUGAUAAUGACAGUACCGGGAGAAUAAGCCCCGGCUAACUCCGUGCCAGCAGCCGCGGUAAUACGGAGGGGGCUAGCGUUGUUCGGAAUUACUGGGCGUAAAGCGCGCGUAGGCGGCUUUGCAAGUUAGAGGUGAAAGCCCGGGGCUCAACCCCGGAAUUGCCUUUAAAACUGCAUCGCUAGAAUUGUGGAGAGGUGAGUGGAAUUCCGAGUGUAGAGGUGAAAUUCGUAGAUAUUCGGAAGAACACCAGUGGCGAAGGCGACUCACUGGACACAUAUUGACGCUGAGGUGCGAAAGCGUGGGGAGCAAACA
rnacentral:rRNA from 1 species